rnacentral:rRNA from 1 species
AUGGCUUCUAUUACAAUGCUUGUUUCUUGGGAAUUGUGGAACGAGGGCAAUGCAAGGAUCUUCAACAACAACUCGUCGACUAUAAUCAUGGCCAAAAUCCGGUGCGAGACGAAGAAUUGAGGUUUGGCGGGUGCAACUCAUUUGUGUAAUCUUAUGCCGGAAGAGUAG